rnacentral:rRNA from 1 species
AGAGCGAACGCUGGCGGCAGGCCUAACACAUGCAAGUCGAGCGCCCGUAGCAAUACGGGAGCGGCAGACGGGAUAGUAACACGUGGGAACGCGCCCUUCGGUUCGGAAUAACUCAGGGAAACUUGAGCUAAUACCGGAUACGCCCUUACGGGGAAAGAUUUAUUGCCGAAGGAACGGCCCGCGUCCGAUUAGCUAGUUGGUGAGGUAAUGGCUCACCAAGGCGACGAUCGGUAGCUGGUCUGAGAGGAUGACCAGCAUCACUGGGACUGAGACACGGCCCAGACUCCUACGGGAGGCAGCAGUGGGGAAUAUUGGACAAUGGGCGCAAGCCUGAUCCAGCCAUGCCGCGUGGAUGAUGAAGGCCUUAGGGUUGUAAAGUCUUUAACGGGAAGAUAAUGACGGUACCGUAGAAUAAGCCCGGCUAACUUCGCGCCAGCAGCCGC